AUUGAACGCUGGCGGCAGGCCUAACACAUGCAAGUCGAACGAGUGGCGGACGGGUGAGUAAUGUCUGGGAAACUGCCCGAUGGAGGGGGAUAACUACUUGAAACGGUAGCUAAUACCGCAUACCAUCGGAUUGGCCCAGAUGGGAUUAGCUAGUAGGUGGGGUAACGGCUCACCAAGGCGACGAUCCCUAGCUGGUCUGAGAGGAGGACCAGCCACACUGGAACUGAGACACGGUCCAGACUCCUACGGGAGGCAGCAGUGGGGAAUUUUGCACAAUGGGCGAAAGCCUGAUGCAGCCAUGCCGCGUGUAUGAUGAAGGCCUUCGGGUUGUAAAGUACUUUAAGCGAGGAGGCGGUACCCGCAGAAGAAGCACCGGCUAACUCCGUGCCAGCAGCCGCGGUAAUAC
rnacentral:rRNA from 1 species